rnacentral:rRNA from 1 species
UGAGGAAUAUUGGUCAAUGGGCGAGAGCCUGAACCAGCCAAGUCGCGUGAGGGAUGACGGUCCUACGGAUUGUAAACCUCUUUUGUCGGGGAACAACAGGGGGCACGCGUGCCUUUGUGAGUGUACCCGGAGAAAAAGCAUCGGCUAACUCCGUGCCAGCAGCCGCGGUAAUACGGAGGAUGCAAGCGUUAUCCGGAUUUAUUGGGUUUAAAGGGUGCGUAGGCGGAUGGGUAAGUCAGCGGUGAAAUGUCCCGGCUCAACCGGGGAACUGCCAUUGAUACUGCCUGUCUUGAAUGCGGAUGCCGUGGGAGGAAUGUGUAGUGUAGCGGUGAAAUGCAUAGAUAUUACACAGAACACCGAUUGCGAAGGCAUCUCACGAAUCCGUUAUUGACGCUGAGGCACGAAAGCGUGGGGAUCAAACAGGAUUAGAUACCCUGGUAGU